AAAACUUUGCAAUGCGGGAAACCGUGACAAGGGAACUCUGAGUGCCCGUUAAAUCGGGCUGUCCAUCGGUUUAAAUAACCGGUGAAGAAAGGGCCGGGCAAGACCGGUGCCAGCCGCCGCGGUAAUACCGGCGGCUCGAGUGGUGGCCACUAUUACUGGGCUUAAAGCGUUCGUAGCUGGUUUGUUAAGUCUCUGGGGAAAUCUUCCGGCUUAACCGGAAGGCGUCUCAGGGAUACUGGCAGACUAGGGACCGGGAGAGGUGAGAGGUACUCCAGGGGUAGGAGUGAAAUCCUGUAAUCCUUGGGGGACCACCUGUGGCGAAGGCGUCUCACCAGAACGGCUCCGACAGUGAGGGACGAAAGCUGGGGGAGCAAACCGGAUUAGA
rnacentral:rRNA from 1 species